GUUUCUCUCCCAGUGCUCAAAGGCUCCUGACUGUGGAGAGCUAAAGCUGCCAGGAGCUGCCUGUGCUUGCCAAGUGGUUGCAGAUGUUUCCUCCCUACUGCUCUGACUUUGCCAGCGGGCACUGCGAUGUGCUGCCAAUGCCUGUGCCUCCUACCCCCACACCUCCGCUGCUGAGAGUGCUGAUGGCAGGCAGCUUGCAGGUGAGACUCCUCCCACCACCGUCAUUGCCUCCUCACCUAAUGCCAUGGUCCCUCCAGGGCCAGCCUGCAUCCAGAGACUGGUUCACAUGGGGGUAUAAAAGCCCAGGCCCCUUGCCCCAACUUGGGACAACUAUGAAGAGUUUCCAGCUCCACAGCUCCCUGAGGGGCUGGCCGAGGCCUUUGUGGGGUUUGCCUCACAACCCAAUUUAUCCCUCUGGCCAAUUCUGCUUCAAUCACUCCCUGCCAGGUGUUGACCUUGAAUGUACUCCCCCAAUAGGGUUUGUUGGUGUCUUGGGGUAAGAGGCUCUUCAGGCUGAAAGGUGAGCGGAGGCUGUCAGAAGCUGGGGAGAUCUGGGUCACCCAAAGCAAACAUGAGCCCUUACUCAGAUCUCACAGCAAAGACCACCCCUGGAUCUGUCCAUGCAGAGGCCCAGGUCUCUGGUGAGAAAGGCAGAGGGGAGGAUCAAGCAUGGAAACUGGAGGGGGAAAGAACAGAACUCACAGGGGUAGACCAUUGGCUCUAAGACACCCGCGCUUGGGCCUUAAUGUACAGCUCAGUUAAUCUUCACCUUUGCCCUGAGAGGUUAAAUUAUUAUCCCCAUUUUACAGGGGAGAAAACAAGCUGGGAGAGGAGGAAUGACUUGCUCAUGGUUGUGCAGCUAGUAGAAAAUUCUACCCUCUUGUGGUGGCACCAUUGUUU
rnacentral:lncRNA from 10 species